AUUUUACUCCCUCCGUCUGAAAAUACUUGUCGAAGAAAUGAAUAAAAAUGGAUGUAUCUAAAACUAAAAUAUAUCUAGAUACAUCCAUUCCUCCGACAAGUAUUUCCGGGCGGAGGGAGUACACC
rfam:Triticum aestivum genome assembly, contig: Triticum_aestivum_CS42_TGACv1_scaffold_223741_3B